AUUUUAAAGGGCCGCGGUAUUUGGACCGUGCUAAGGUAGCAUAAUAAAUAGUCUUUUAAUUGAAGUCUAGUAUGAAUGGUCGGACAUGAAGUAAGCUGUUUUAGUUUUUAUUUUUGAAUUUUACUUUUAAGUGAAAAGGCUUAAAUUAAAUGGUGGGACGAUAAGACCCUAUAAAGCUUUACGGUUUACUCUUUAGUUGUGAGAUUUAAGGUUUCUUAAACUUAGUGAGUGAAGCGUUUCGUUGGGGCGACGGAAAUAUAAAUAAAGUAACUGUUUUUUUUAAAAAAUAUGUUUUUAUAGGUGAGUUGAUCCUUUUUUGAGAUUAUAAGAUAUAAGUUACUUUAGGGAUAACAGCGUAAUUUAUCUUGAGAGUUCAUAUCGACAGAUACAGUUGCGACCUCGAUGUUGAAUUAAAAUAUCCUCCAGGUGUAGCAGUUUUGGUGGUAGGUCUGUUCGACCUUUAAAAUUUUACAUGAUUUGAGUUCAGACCGGCGUGAGCCAGGUUAG
rnacentral:rRNA from 1 species